GGCUGCAGACACACUGGAGUAUAAAUGAAAGUGUUGAACAUCCCAAAUGUCACAAGACAAGUGUGAAAGGUGCUGGAGGAAGUAAUAUGCAGGUGAAGCCAAGAGGACCACAAAAAUGUUAUAAGAGAGGUGACUGAGGCGUGCUCUGAGUUGAGAGCACAGGCUUCAGUUAACAAGGUAUGCAGAGACUGAAAAUAUUCUUAAGCUGGAUCAAUCUCAUAAAACUACAUGUCCUUACACCCACUAAUACCAAACAUCUCAGCUUUCUCCAAAUGAACCCAGUGCAUGCAUUCCUGAGAAGCCUGGCAUGACAGCAUGCUCCAAGACACAGCCUGCUGUCUGGCUGUCAGUCUCCACAUUCACUCUGAGCCAGUUAAAAAAGCAAAAGGUGCGAAGUAUGUGCUGGCAGUGCCAGGAGAGGAUCAAAUUAGAGCAUAAUAUAUCCAUAAACUCAUCACAAGUAAUUUCCCUCUAAGACAGCAGGCUUUACUGCAAUGAACAUUCGCUAAAUUGGUGUGUCUAGCUAAACAAGAUUAGAUUAAAGUUAAAUUAAAGCCACUGUGUCUAGUCGAGAUCACACUGUUGCUCGAGAAGAAGCUACAGAUGGGCUGACAGCAGUGUGUCUGCACGUGAAGGCUCAAAAGAACUGCGCAGAAUCUUCUCAGCGUAAUCUGGCCUUCCUGUUCUUGAGGGUAGACGGUGGAUUGCACUACAACUACAAAAAGAUUUAUUUGAAAUGUAUUUAUUAAUUGGUCUAGCCCGAGUCCAGAUAUAGUGCUGAAGAAACAUAUACAUCGCAUAGGAGGAAAAAAACAUGCAAUCUCUGCCUGGAGGUCUACCACACACACACACACACACAAAGAGAUGAUGAUUGGUAGUCUCAUCUGAGCAAGCUGAUUGAUCAAACACACACUGUCGGCAACUAAUUCCCAUUAAGACUGUCUAGCUGUUCUUUGUUAUUUACUUUGCAGUAACAUGAAAGCUAGUUAGCAGUUUGUCAUGUUUCCUCCGGCUCUGUGUGGCUUUUUUUUCAAAGUUUCUAAUAUAAGAAUUAUUUAACAGUGUCAUGUCUGCUGUAAUAACUGGAGCAUGCAUUUUACAGAAGGAACAAAGCACAGUGCUCGCUGGACACUAUCUCAUCCAAGAGUGUUUGGUUUUGUUGUCCUUUUUGUUCUGUCUGAAGGAAACUUUCUGCUACAGUGCCCACACAGUAUUGAGUAAGCAUCUGGAAUGAGUCAUAGCCCCUCUAAUGGAAAUCCAUUUAGCCUGGUCUGAAGUAUAAGUCUGCGCAGGGAAGCAUAGCGUCACGCUGAACUGAACCUCUGGCUAUCUUUCACAAGGGAGGACAAGUAGGCAACACUCAAGGUGAAAAGACCCGCCUAGACAAUCAACAGCAAAGGUAUUAUAUGACUAUUGUGUGACAAUAGACGUGUUUGCAGUUAAUGAAAUUUUUUUAUGAAACUACUUUUAAGGUUAAUCUAUUUUUUUAAAUACAAUAUAAAACUUUUGAAAAAUCCAGGGAUCAUAUUGCUAUGCAGCCCAGUCCAGAGUCUUUAUGAUGGAUGACGUUCAGUGAGUGUCCUCUCUCAAAGAAUUAUCUGAUUUAAAUGAAAAGAACCAGGAAGGCUGCAGAAUAUGGAGCAAAAUGCAGAUUCGUGGAUCAUUAAUAUUUACAUAUACUUCAAGCAGGGGGAGAAUUGGAUUUUGAGGCGGGCCUUUUAUGCAUUCUGCCUCUUGAUUGUAACGUUGCUGCAGCCCAUGAGGCAAACUAUGAAUACAUUUGAAGUGAAUCUUUUAAUGGAGACAUGAAAGGAGGCCUGUGAAGGUCAGCUGCUCAGUAGCGCUGAGAGCAACUGAGCUCCUUUAACCUGUUUGUGUCACUAAAAAAUUGAAUAAGAAAGGUUUCCUUUUUAAAGUGUAAGUGCUGUAAUUUAUGACUAAAAUGUAUAUUCUUCUCUUUUAUCACUGGAAUUAUGAAGCCUAAUGUUUUCUCAGUAGCAGGCAGCCAUUUAUAUAAAGCCUUGCUGCUUGUGGAUAUAAGCAAUCAAUCUCUAAAUGCUUUUUUGAAUAGUAGCACACAAGAAUUAUAUUCAACGAACUUUUAUGGAAGCAUGUUUGUGUAACGUUGAUGUUUUCUUUAACGAACACUUACUUUUUUUUUUUUUUAAAUGUGGCCUCAAUUCUCCAUUUUUGUAUUGUUUGAGGUGAAUACUUACAGUGAACACUUGUGCUUUUACUUUGGUUCUUUGGGGAAAGACCUCAUGGUGGUUUGGGUGGAAACUUGUUUGCAUGAUCUGGAACCCUAAAAGGAAAUUUUCCCAACCUGCCAGAAAGCCUAUAUAUGUCACUCACUCACUUGCUUGUUUCAACACGUGAUGAGAAUUUUCAAAUUAUUAAAAAAAUCGCUCCUGUAAUUGUGCUUGAUCUGCAUUGUGGCCCCUCAAGAUGCUCAGCAGAGGAUUAUAAGGGAAAGCUUUUCUUCAGCUCCACAUGUGUGUAAGGGCUGGGACUGAAAAAUGAAAAUAUAACAUAUUCCCACAAGGUCAGCUUCAUGUUCCUGU